UUGCGGUUAAAAAGCUCGUAGUUGGAUCUCAGUUCCAGACGGGUGGUCCGCCUWACCGGUGGUUACUGCCUGAUCUGAACAGCCAGCCGGUUUCUCUUGAUGAUCUUCACCGGUUGUCUUGGGUGACCGGCAAGUUUACUUUGAAAAAAUUAGAGUGCUCAAAGCAGGCGUGACGCCUGAAUAAUGGUGCAUGGAAUAAUGGAAUAGGACCUCGGUUCUWUUUUGUUGGUUUUCGGAACYCGAGGUAAUGAUUAAGAGGGACAGACGGGGGCAUUCGUAUUGCGACGCUAGAGGUGAAAUUCUUGGACCGUCGCAAGACGAACUACUGCGAAAGCAUUUGCCAAGAAUGUUUCCAUUAAUCAAGAACGAAAGUUAGAGGUUCGAAGGCGAUCAGAUACCGCCCUAGUUCUAACCAUAAACGAUGCCAGCCAGCGAUCCGGCUGUGUUCCUCAAAUGACACGCCGGGCAGCUUCCGGGAAACCAAAGCUUUUGGGUUCCGGGGGAAGUAUGGUUGCAAAGCUGAAACUUAAAGGAAUUGACGGAAGGGCACCACCAGGARUGGAGCCUGCGGCUUAAUUUGACUCAACACGGGAAAACUUACCCGGCCCGGACACAGGAAGGAUUGACAGAUUAAGAGCUCUUUCUUGAUUCUGUGGGUGGUGGUGCAUGGCCGUUCUUAGUUGGUGGAGCGAUUUGUCUGGUUAAUUCCGAUAACGAACGAGACUCUAGCCUACUAAAUAGACGUUCCCAUCCUCUGCGUGGGACGUUCUUCUUAGAGGGACAAGCGGCGUUUAGUCGCACGAGACAGAGCAAUAACAGGUCUGUGAUGCCCUUAGAUGUCCGGGGCCGCACGCGCGCUACAUUGAAGGAAUCAGCGUGUGCUUUCCCUGUCCGACAGGACUGGGUAACCCGUUGAACCUCCUUCGUGCUGGGGAUAGGGGCUUGUAAUUGUUCCCCUUGAACGAGGAAUUCCCAGUAAGCACGAGUCAUAAGCUCGUGUUGAUUACGUCCCUGCCCUUUGUACACACCGCCCGUCGCUACUACCGAUUGAAUGAUUUAGUGAGGUCUUCGGACUGGCGCUCGGAGCGGCCUUCCGGUCGCGCCGGCGUGCCGGAAAGAUGACCAAACUUGAUCAUUUAGAGG
rnacentral:rRNA from 1 species